UAGACAAACUGUCUAUAAAUGGAGGUGAUUCAGUACUAUAGGUACUCUCACUAGAAGUGGCCGUUAGAUAUUCAUCUGUCCACAGUUAGACAAACUGUCUAUAAAUGGAGAUGAUUUAGUACUAUAGGUACUCUCUCUCUUGAAGUGGCCGUUAGAUGUUCAUCUGUUCACAGUUAGACAAACUGUCUAUAAAUGGAGGUGAUUUAGUACUAUAGGUACUCUCACUAGAAGUGGCCGUUAGAUAUUCAUCUGUUCACAGUUAGACAAACUGUCUAUAAAUGGAGGUGAUUUAGUACUAUAGGUACUCUCACUAGAAGUGGCCGUUAGAUAUUCAUCUGUUCACAGUUAGACAAACUGUCUAUAAAUGGAGGUGAUUUAGUACUAUAGGUACUCUCACUAGAAGUGGCCGUUAGAUAUUCAUCUGUUCACAGUUAGACAAACUGUCUAUAAAUGGAGGUGAUUUAGUACUAUAGGUACUCUCACUAGAAGUGGCCGUUAGAUAUUCAUCUGUUCACAGUUAGACAAACAGUCUAUAAAUGGAGAU